CGCNCCUUNCAUGCAAGUCGAACGGCAGCACGGGAGCAAUCCUGGUGGCGAGUGGCGAACGGGUGUAGUAAUACAUCGGAACGUGCCCAAUCGUGGGGGAUAACGCAGCGAAAGCUGUGCUAAUACCGCAUACGAUCUACGGAUGAAAGCAGGGGAUCGCAAGACCUUGCGCGAAUGGAGCGGCCGAUGGCAGAUUAGGUAGUUGGUGAGGUAAAGGCUCACCAAGCCUUCGAUCUGUAGCUGGUCUGAGAGGACGACCAGCCACACUGGGACUGAGACACGGCCCAGACUCCUACGGGAGGCAGCAGUGGGGAAUUUUGGACAAUGGGCGAAAGCCUGAUCCAGCCAUGCCGCGUGCAGGAUGAAGGCCUUCGGGUUGUAAACUGCUUUUGUACGGAACGAAACGGCCUUUUCUAAUAAAGAGGGCUAAUGACGGUACCGUAAGAAUAAGCACCGGCUAACUACGUGCCAGCAGCCGCGGUAAUACGUAGGGUGCAAGCGUUAAUCGGAAUUACUGGGCGUAAAGCGUGCGCAGGCGGUUAUGUAAGACAGUUGUGAAAUCCCCGGGCUCAACCUGGGAACUGCAUCUGUGACUGCAUAGCUAGAGUACGGUAGAGGGGGAUGGAAUUCCGCGUGUAGCAGUGAAAUGCGUAGAUAUGCGGAGGAACCACCGAUGGCGAAGGCAAUCCCCUGGACCUGUACUGACGCUCAUGCACGAAAGCGUGGGGAGCAAACAGGAUUAGAUACCCUGGUAGUCCACGCCCUAAACGAUGUCAACUGGUUGUUGGGUCUUCACUGACUCAGUAACGAAGCUAACGCGUGAAAGUUGACCGCCUGGGGAGUACNGCCCCCAAGGUUGAAACUCAAANGGAAUUGACNGGGAA
rnacentral:rRNA from 1 species